AAUCUACAUACAUAGGGGUUGGGAUUCUGCUAUUGUUGAGAUGGGGCUUCUUUUCACAAGAUGUUCCGGGUAUCGGUUGAUCUCUGAUAUUUAGGACAGGCUUUGAGGUUUGAGCUGUUUGUGCACAGUUCAGCUCUCCACUAAAUGAUCUGAACAAGAACAAUUCUUGUCAAGUACAGUCGUCCUGAGGAUUCAAGUAUAGGCUGGAUGAGUAGGUAGCCAUAAGACUAUCCAUCUUCGUAAAGACGACAACAAUUCCCAUGUUGGUGUUAUUAGGAUUGGAUAUGAAAUGUCGUGAGAUUUUUGCAAGGAAACAUAUUGGUUUGUGAGAACUUGGCUCAAGAAGGAACUUGGCUCAUGAUGAGUGAUGGCUACAAAAAUCUCCUGCCCAUUUGGUAUAAAUACUUGACAAUCUCAGUCUUUAUCAAAUGUCAUCACAUCCCGAGGCUGCCCUAACCUGAGAGAAUGGUAGAAUCUGAGAUGGCUUGAAUGUGAUUGGAGUCAUCUUUUAACUUAUUUUCUAUGAUUUGUGCUACUGUAUUGUUCUUUGAUGCAUGGCGGUCAUCCUUGGAUUGGUUCAGAUCUGCAAUGGUUGAUCAACUAUUGUUUGGAUCAAAUCCUAGGUCAGUAGACCCUGAAUUAAGUUGUUCGCGGCUUAUCUGUCGAAGGUUGGCAUUGUGAAUGCAAUAUAGAUUUGAUGCAAGCAAUGAUGGAAUGCCCCAUGAGCUGGAGUCAACUGAUAGCUGCACCCACUAUUCCUGGCUCAUCCAGUAACUUUGUUACAUGCGUCAGAGUCGGAGUUAUUAUAGAGCCAUAUCAACAGCCAUUGUUAUCCUCCCCACCCUUCUAUAAAGCACUUACUCUCCAUUUCCCCUACAUUAUAGGGUGUCACGAUGAAUCUGGUGGUGCGGUUCAGAUUCCCAGUGGUUUAUCUGAGUGAGGCCUGCAGCUGAUUCAGGCGGUAUCCUUAGUGGUUGAUCCGAGCUUUUGUAACCAUUUGUGUGGGUUGUGACAAAUCAAAGAUAGGAUGAGAUCUGCCUUCAUCUCUCCGAUCAGAUGAGUCUGAUACUUUCAGUCACGAUGGGGUCAGAUUUUGGCCUUCAUCUAUUACGAUUGAUUUAAAGAAGUGAUGAGGUUGAUUUUUGAUCUGAUGAUGAGGUAGCAUUUGUAUGUUGUCUUCCCAGGCCUUUGUCAUGUUGGGCGACCUUGCUCAAUAAAUAUAUAUUCUGUUA
rnacentral:misc_RNA from 1 species